AGUGAACGCUGGCGGUAGGCCUAACACAUGCAAGUCGAACGGCAGCACAGUAAGAGCUUGCUCUUACGGGUGGCGAGUGGCGGACGGGUGAGGAAUACAUCGGAAUCUACUUUUUCGUGGGGGAUAACGUAGGGAAACUUACGCUAAUACCGCAUACGACCUACGGGUGAAAGCAGGGGAUCUUCGGACCUUGCGCGAUUGAAUGAGCCGAUGUCGGAUUAGCUAGUUGGCGGGGUAAAGGCCCACCAAGGCGACGAUCCGUAGCUGGUCUGAGAGGAUGAGCAGCCACACUGGAACUGAGACACGGUCCAGACUCCUACGGGAGGCAGCAGUGGGGAAUAUUGGGCAAUGGGCGCAAGCCUGAUCCAGCCAUACCGCGUGGGUGAAGAAGGCCUUCGGGUUGUAAAGCCCUUUUGUUGGGAAAGAAAAGCAGCAGGUUAAUACCCCGCUGUUCUGACGGUACCCAAAGAAUAAGCACCGGCUAACUUCGUG
rnacentral:rRNA from 1 species